AAUGGGCGCAAGCCUGAUCCAGCCAUGCCGCGUGCGGGAAGAAGGCCUUCGGGUUGUAAACCGCUUUUGUCAGGGAAGAAACGGUCUGAUCUAAUAAAUUGGGCUAAUGACGGUACCUGAAGAAUAAGCACCGGCUAACUACGUGCCAGCAGCCGCGGUAAUACGUAGGGUGCAAGCGUUAAUCGGAAUUACUGGGCGUAAAGCGUGCGCAGGCGGUUAUGCAAGACAGAUGUGAAAUCCCCGGGCUCAACCUGGGAACUGCAUUUGUGACUGCAUAGCUAGAGUACGGUAGAGGGGGAUGGAAUUCCGCGUGUAGCAGUGAAAUGCGUAGAUAUGCGGAGGAACACCGAUGGCGAAGGCAAUCCCCUGGACCUGUACUGACGCUCAUGCACGAAAGCGUGGGGAGCAAA
rnacentral:rRNA from 1 species